CAGACCAGCUCGCUCACUCUUUUCCUCUUCCAUUUUUUAGGGUUUUGUUUGAUAGACGAAGCUUAGGGUCUCUUUGGGUUUGCAACCCUUACCCUCCUGGAAAAAAUCAUAGUUGCUAGACUGCGACACUUCAGACCAGGUACUAUUAGAGCCGCUAAUGGACGACGAGCUAUUUUCCGCUAUCCGGAGCUCAAGCAUUUGAGCCGCUAAAUGGACGAGACUCCUGGGGUGAAGGAUGCAGAGAAUGAGGAGAAAACACUCGUAUGGAGCAGGGAGUAGGUAUUGUACUACUUCCUGGUAUGGAGCACUGAGAAGCGCUUGGUGACAUCGUCCAAGAUCGACAGGGAUGGCGGGUCACCUGCCGUGACGCUGUCGACGCUAUUGUCCAGUCCCGCAUGGAGCCUGUGGCGAAGCCCCUCAUUUGUGGCACUUGUGCGCGCAGUUUUCGUCGGCCACAGGAUAUUGCGACGCACAAGUGUAACGCUGUUCGCGCGGCCCGCGCGCGCUGAGUAUGGCGUUCCCCGCCCGGUGGACAACACGUCUCCUGGUCUGCCCCGUAUGGGGCCACAUAGCCAGUCAUGGCAGUGGAAGAAGGAAGGAAGGAAGCUUUCACCGUCCAGGAGCGACACUGACUCGCACUGCUAUCUGGUGCUCAUGAGGUGUUUGUCGCGCUGCAAACGGAGCGUCUCUGUAAGUUUGUAUCCCUGGUGAUGUUUGGACCUGGAGAGCACUAUAUAAAUGGUGCUUCUCAGGCACAAUCUUCCUCAGCCUACUCAAACUCGACUGAUGAGGGAAAAUUUUCCCGAAACACUGUGUAUUGAGCAGGGAGUGGUCCCUUCUUGCAGGUUUUCCGAGUGGAAGGUUGGAUGGACUUUUCGUGUGCUCUGGGUGGCAGCUGUCAGUCAGUCAAGUGUAAAGUCAAGGCGGCGGAAUAGCGUGAGCUCCAGUGUCGAGAGCAAACCCUUCCCUAACAAUCUUCGCCGAAGUCGCAACCACUAUUUCGUAGGUCUACCCUUGUUAGGAGACAACCCUGGGGGUAUCAACUUUUUUUGUCUGAUAACGAGUACAUUUUUCUGCUGCUUUGCAUCAUCCAUAUUGUGUCCACAUCAGAACUGAUGGUUCCUUGUUAUUAGACAGUGUUUUCCACCAGACCCCUGUACAAGACAACCCAUUAUCAGACAAUGUUUCAUCGGACCCCGAUACAAGACAACAUGAAAUAUCAAUCGAGCUAUCCUCGGCCAUCCGCUUUUUCUUGUAAUGAGAAUUCAAACCUGUGGGACAGCUGAAGGGGA